AUCUCUGUAGAGUCUGCAUAUCAAUAAGCGGAGGAAAAGAAACUAACUAGGAUUCCCUCAGUAACGGCGAGUGAAGCGGGAAGAGCUCAAAUUUGAAAUCUUCAAGGGUUUACCUUGACGAAUUGUAGUUUAAAGAAGUGUUUUCUGGUGAGUGUUUUGGUAAAAGUUCUUUGGAAUAGGGACAUCAUAGAGGGUGAGAAUCCCGUAUUUGACCAUUACUUUCCAGCUUUGUGAUACACUUUCAAAGAGUCGGAUUGUUUGGGAAUGCAGUCCAAAAUGGGUGGUAAAUUUCAUCUAAAGCUAAAUAUUGGCGAGAGACCGAUAGCGAACAAGUACCGUGAGGGAAAGAUGAAAAGAACUUUGAAAAGAGAGUUAAACAGUACGUGAAAUUGUCAAAAGGGAAGCGUUUGACACCAGUGUUGUUUUCUCGAAAAUCAAUUAAAGAAUGCUUGGAUUUUGUAUUGUAUUAGACCUUAUAAGCUUACUGUCACUCUUUUCUUGCUUUUCUUAAUGCACUUUUCGUUUAACAAGUCAACAUCAAUUUCUUUUGUUGUAAAAGAGUCAUUGGAAGGUGGCUUUCACUUCGGUGAAAGUGUUUAUAGCCUUUGGCUUCUGCAAUCGGAGAGAUUGAGGUCUGCAGCGUAGAUCCUUCGGGGCUAGAUACGUAGAUGCUAAGUUAUAGUUUUUUAUAGACAACUUGUUGACUAUAAUUAAUCAUGUAGCUUACUCGUUUGCGCUAUUUUACCUACGCUUAGGAUGUUGAAGAUGUAGCACAUCAU
rnacentral:rRNA from 1 species